CUGCUAUGGUGUAAUUAGCACGGUACCUUUUCAUGGUAUAAGAGUAUAAGUAUACUAGUAGU
rnacentral:tRNA from 1 species